CUAAUACCGGAUAAGAUUUUGAACUGCAUGGUUCGAAAUUGAAAGGCGGCUUCGGCUGUCACUUAUGGAUGGACCCGCGUCGCAUUAGCUAGUUGGUGAGGUAACGGCUCACCAAGGCAACGAUGCGUAGCCGACCUGAGAGGGUGAUCGGCCACACUGGGACUGAGACACGGCCCAGACUCCUACGGGAGGCAGCAGUAGGGAAUCUUCCGCAAUGGACGAAAGUCUGACGGAGCAACGCCGCGUGAGUGAUGAAGGCUUUCGGGUCGUAAAACUCUGUUGUUAGGGAAGAACAAGUGCUAGUUGAAUAAGCUGGCACCUUGACGGUACCUAACCAGAAAGCCACGGCUAACUACGUGCCAGCAGCCGCGGUAAUACGUAGGUGGCAAGCGUUAUCCGGAAUUAUUGGGCGUAAAGCGCGCGCAGGUGGUUUCUUAAGUCUGAUGUGAAAGCCCACGGCUCAACCGUGGAGGGUCAUUGGAAACUGGGAGACUUGAGUGCAGAAGAGGAAAGUGGAAUUCCAUGUGUAGCGGUGAAAUGCGUAGAGAUAUGGAGGAACACCAGUGGCGAAGGCGACUUUCUGGUCUGUAACUGACACUGAGGCGCGAAAGCGUGGGGAGCAAACAGGAUUAGAUACCCUGNUAGUCCAC
rnacentral:rRNA from 1 species